rnacentral:pre_miRNA from 1 species
UUCGUACUCCCUCCGUUUGGAAUUAGUUGUCACGAAAAUGAAUAUAUCUAGACGUAUUUUAGUUUUAGAUACAUCCAUUUCCAAGACAAGUAAUUCCGAACGGAGGAAGUACAAU